CUGUUCUGUCAAUGAGAGGCUUCGGAUGAACAUCGGUGAUCAAACGGCAUCAUGAAGACCAAGGAGCUCAGCAGACGACUCAGAGGAGAAGUUUAAAGUGUGGAGCACAAAUGAAGGGGAGACGAGGCCCAGCGCUGCAACAAAACGCUCAGUUUAUCAUCUCCAAGCGCAAAAACCUCAUGGGCUUGACACAAUAAACACACCGUUGCCAGAUGAGGACAA